AAAGAGCCUGACUUUUGAGGUGUAUAAGCAUGGAGUCGGGUUCAAAUCAGGCUCUGAUCUUUCUGGCUCUGUGAUAUGGGGCAGGGCAUAUUACCAAGCUCAGCCUCAGCAUCUCUACCUGUGAAAUGGGCUUGAUUCAGUAUCUACCACACAGGGCUGCUGUAGUAUGUAUGAAUUAAUGUUUGUGAAAUAUUUAGCAUGGUGCCCGACACAUGGUACUCAGUAAGAAACAACUAUUGCUAUUAAGUGCUUUGCACUUUGGUUUUCACAGAGCUAACAAUUUUUACUGUCUAGCUUUGUGUCUUUGAAAGAUUUUUGAGCUCUGAGAAUGACCUUUUAAGACCUCAGCACUUCUGGAAGAGGUCACACUUCGAGCUUCAAUAGCUAGCAUUUUUGUCAAUUAGUUAACAGUGUGCUGAAAGCAAGUCCCUGUAGAGAGUGUUCACGGGCAUGAGCCACAGGGAAUACAAUGUGAGGCCUGUGGAGGUGGCAGCUGAGGAUGUCAACAGGGAAAGCACAGAGUACCAAAGACAAAAGUUGCCCAGGACAGUUCUGUGUUAGCUACCUGGUGGCAGCCUGGACACGCAAAGAUAGAGCUGAAGACACCUCUAAUACAAGAGGCGGAUGCCCCGGAGACGUGGCUGAUUCCUUGGCUAAUUUCCUCAGCCCCACCGUUGUGCAGCUUUGUGACUUCCUGGAGAGCCUACAUGCAAACAGAAAGGUCCCAGGAUAAAGAAAUGUGGAUAUUCCACAUAUUUUAAAAAGACCUGGAGGGAUGAAGAGGACAAGCUGUCCCAGUAGGCCCCGGACUGCCCUGGUUUUAACACUAAAUGUCCGACAUCCUGAUAACCCUUACUCCCAGGCAAAUCAGGCCAGUUGGUCAUCUAAUUGGAGGUUAUCAAAGGAGGUGGGUUUUAGCAUCCUCUUUCCUUUCCUGUUACAUUGAGACCAUGGGGUGCUAUUGAAUAAACUUGAUUCGGUUUCUUCAAAAAAAGCCAGAAAUUGAUCUAAUAGGUUUUGCUCAUAUUUGGUAAUUGAAUUGGACUGUAUACAGUCUGCACGUUUACCUUAUUUUCCAUUAUGUAAUGGUACCAAAUAUCA
rnacentral:lncRNA from 10 species